GAUGAACGCUGGCGGCGUGCCUAAUACAUGCAAGUCGAGCGAACAGACGAGGAGCUUGCUCCUCUGACGUUAGCGGCGGACGGGUGAGUAACACGUGGAUAACCUACCUAUAAGACUGGGAUAACUUCGGGAAACCGGAGCUAAUACCGGAUAAUAUAUUGAACCGCAUGGUUCAAUAGUGAAAGACGGUUUUGCUGUCACUUAUAGACGGAUCCGCGCCGCAUUAGCUAGUUGGUAAGGUAACGGCUUACCAAGGCAACGAUGCGUAGCCGACCUGAGAGGGUGAUCGGCCACACUGGAACUGAGACGCGGUCCAGACUCCUACGGGAGGCAGCAGUAGGGAAUCUUCCGCAAUGGGCGAAAGCCUGACGGAGCAACGCCGCGUGAGUGAUGAAGGUCUUCGGAUCGUAAAACUCUGUUAUUAGGGAAGAACAAAUGUGUAAGUAACUAUGCACGUCUUGACGGUACCUAAUCAGAAAGCCACGGCUAACUACGUG
rnacentral:rRNA from 1 species